rnacentral:rRNA from 1 species
UGUGGUGGGCGCAUUCAUGACGGUGUGUCAAAUUUUAAAUUUCUGGGAGGAUUGACAGAUUGAGAGCUCUUUCUUGAUUCGGUGAAUGGCGGCGCAUGUCCGCUCCUAGUUGGUGGAGCGAUUUGUCAGGUUCAUUCCGAUAACAAACGAGACUCUAGCCUAUUAAAUAGGUGCAUGUUUCUCUGCACCUUGCACCCUUCUUAGAGGGACAAGCGGCUCCCAGCCGCGCGAAGCAGAACAGAGCAAUAACAGGUCUGUAAUGCCCUUAGAUAUCCGGGGCCGCACGCGUGCUACACUGAAGGAAGCAGCGUGUUUUUAUCCCUGUCUGUUAAGACAGUAAGCUUAGAAAAAAGUGACUUGAGCAAAUACAGAGGGAUA